GUCUUUACGAGUCUAUUUCUUAAUAAUUUAGUUGAGUGUUAAUUUAUUAUUUCUAACACCUUUUCCCCCUAUAUAAACUGCCCACCUAGGAUGCAACAUAUAUAGCAAACCUAAAGAAACUUGAGGUGAUUAUUUACAAAAAUGAUGAUGAAGAAAAUUUGUGCUAUUUUGUUUGUGGCUUCUCUUUUGAUUGUUGGAUUGACUAACGAAGUCAAUGCAAAAGUCAUAAGCAAGAACCGUAAAUUAAUGAGCGACGUAGCAGAUCGAUAUACACCCGGAGGACCAACUCCUUGUUACCAUUGCAUGGCCGAUGGGAAACCCCAUCAAGCUCUACAAAACUCGGACUCUGAAGUGAAAGUGAAUAUCAAUAACGAUGGAUCAGGACGUUGAAGUCGAAUUUUUAUUAUGUAAUAUGGUAUAUUUCACUAUGAGUGUGUGUUUAAGUACUUUAUACAUAAUGUAUGUAAAAAAGUUGAGUGCAAGUAUGUGUGCAUGGCUUGAGAGUUGUUGGUUGUGAGGUAAAUGAAAAACUUAUGUGAAUUGGUAGGUGAUGAGUUUACAAAUUCAAAAGGUUUGUAGUGUUGUUUAAUUUGGUUUGAACGGUUUUUUAUUGGAUGUUAAUCUAUAAAAGGAGAUAUGAAAUACAUGCUUUGUGUUUA